GCUGGAAAGCCGCUGUUUAAGAGUUUGCAGAUUCACAAGCACGUGAACUAAAACAAAAUGGCGAGCAAAACACAAACACAGCGACGAUGAAGAGAAAACGAGAAGGGAAAACUGCGUCCGGUAGCGGUCCUAAAACCAAGAAGAAAAAGAAAUCCCCAGCUACACCAAAGAAUGACCAAAAACCUAAAUAUGUAACCCCUCACCUGCCCCAAAAGGCUGAAGAAAUGUCGUCAAACUGGAAAGCUCUUCAGAGUAUUCUUAUGGAAGAAAAGGCCAAAAACUCUGACAAGAGCGAGAAGACAAGAAAACCUAAAAAGUUUUUAAAGUCACUGAAAAACCUGAAGGAAAAAGAGGCAAAAAAGAUAAAAGACAAGGAAGGAAUUUCUUUCAAUACAAACAACAAGUCUAAUGAGAUAUGGUUUGAUGAUGUUGAUGUUGAAGACAUAGAGAAAGCAGGAGGGAAAGUUGAUAAAUCAGAAGAUGGAGCAGGAACUUCUGUAAAUCUCACUAUUGGUGGCUAUCAAGGGUUGACCAAGAAAAUUGCAAUUGACUGCGAAUUUGUUGGUGUUGGUUCAGAGGGUGCCAAACACAUGCUGGCUAGAGUUUCUAUUGUAAACUCACAUGGACGGGUUGUCUAUGACAAAUAUGUUGCCCCACAAGAAAGGGUCAUUGACUACAGAACUGCAGUCAGUGGAAUAAGGCCAUUAGACUUGAAAGAUGCACCAGAUUUUAAAACAGUACAAAAGGAGGUGUCUGACAUUCUACAGGGGCGGAUCCUGAUUGGACAUGCACUCAAGCAUGAUUUACAGGUACUCUUCCUAGCCCAUCCAAGAAAAGAUAUCAGAGACACAUCUAAGUACAAGCCAUUUCAGAAAAUUGUCCAGAGUAAGCAUCCUUCACUGAAAAAGCUGAGCAAAGAGAUAUUGCAUUCAAUCAUACAAGAGGGAGAGCAUUGCUCUAUACAAGAUGCCCAGGCGGCCAUGCGGUUGUACUGCUUGCACAAGCGGGAAUGGGAGAAGCAAAUCAAGGACAAGAAGUUUCAUUUUUCAAAGAAACGCUUAGAACAUGAUGCUGAAGGGAGCAGCUGACGAAAAACGGCAGCUUCUUGAAAUUUGAACUCCUGGGGCCGGUGCCAGAAAGCCCGAUUAAGCCCUAGAUUAGCGCCUAAUCCUGGGUUAAAAUUCGCUGAUAGUAGGUUAGCUAACUUACGGAUAACUCAUCGUUUCCGAAAGCCAAGUAAUCCCCCGAUUUACUAACCCUAGAUAGAGCGAGUGAAAAACUGGUUUGACGAGAAAAAUUCACACAGGAUACCCAGUAGAUCAAUUGAGAGCAACACAAAUUUACUUUUGGUGGGUUUAUUUUCGCAGAGAAGCCCCAAAACACCUCUACAUCACCUGUUAUUACCUCCAUUUCAUUGCCAAAAAUGUCAUUGGCAGUAUUCGAGUUGGUGCGUGAAACUAGCGAGACGGAUUCGUUUCAAGUAUAAAUUUCAUGUAACUUUCUGUCUGGCCCAGCACAAUUAUCGAGUCAGCAACGCUACGAAGGUCGCAUAACAAAGCGAAAUGUUGUUUUUGUGUAACGUCUUUUUUGUGGGCAACAUCAUUUUAUGAAACAUAAGUUCUACUGCAAAGUUUGGGAGUAAACCGUAGGUUAGCGAGUUAAUCCACCUCGCGAGCAGGGAACAAAACUAAUCCCGGGGUAAAGAUUUAAUCGUGGGUUAGGGCAAAUUAAACCCUGGGUUAGCGCAAAUCGGCCUUUCAGGGACCGGCCCCUGGACCAUAAGGGUAUCAGACCACAAUCAAGCUGACUGGCACUGGCUCAAUAUAAGCAAAAUCCACCAUAACUUCAUAACUUUAAUUAAAACAAUUUCCAAGCCCAUACCCAGGGAAGAAGUUGAGGUUUUGGAAGAACUAACCACUCCGACUGCUAUAUGGUCCGCUUAAUGGGUGAACCAACCUCACAAUCCUGGCUACGGGCCUGAGAUUCAUAAACUAGAUCAUGUCAUGCAGAUGUUAUACAUUUUAUUUGUAGUAUUUUUACAGAGAUACGGAACAUACAAAGCAGUCAAUCACAGUCCAUACAUGCAGCAUACUAUAAGUAUGAAUACUCGGCCAUCAUGAUUUUGUCACGUGACCCUAGAUACGUGUAUAUCACAACUAGUUCCAGUAAACAUACUAGGGGCUUUGACUCGGGCCAUCAUAAUUUGGUUACGUGAGCUCUAGAUAUGUCUCCCACUGAUCUGCAUCCUGUCAAAAAGAGACAUAUUGGUUGAAUACAAAGCAAGGUAGCGAUUCUGAAUACUUGUUAUACGAGCUUUACCUGAUAACCACAUAGCUUUUCUUAGCUCUUCUCGUAGCAACUCCAGGAUGUAACUCACACUUUCUUCACCCUAAAAAAGAGUGGAAAAGACAUUGUUUUCAUGGG